rnacentral:sRNA from 22 species
GCCAGGCCGACUGACCGCCCCACGCUGCGCGCGGUUCGGCGCAGCGGCAAUGCCCCGGCAGCCGCCGGGGCGCCUGUCCUGUCCUUUUCUGCCGGGUCGGUGCCGACCCGGCAGCUUUUGCAGCGGCGUGUAUGGUGCGUUACAGUCUCCGUCACGCGUGAUUUGUUAAAAUUCGGCUAAUCUCCCCCGAUUAGACAGCCGGUUCAGCGUCUGUCUGCAUUGCUCAUACAGACUUCGCCCAUGACCCAGCAACGCACUCUCAAGAACACCAUCCGCGCCACCGGCGUCGGCCUGCAUAGCGGCGACAAGGUCU